CGUCGCGAUGGCGAGGGUGCGAACCGGCCAUCCGAAGGCCGACCCUGCAUACGGCCGCCUGUUCGAAUCAGCUCGCCGUGC
rnacentral:tRNA from 1 species